CACUAAUGAACAUAAUUAGAAGUUCUAAAUAUAAUAAUCAAAUAAAGUGGAUUUAUAGGUACUUCAUGAACUUUGGAAAUAUAAAAUCUAGUGAGCAAUACUAAGGAAUGAAAAAGAGAAGCUAUGGAGUAUGAAAUAAUGGUUGGUUAAGUAACAUUACCUCAAGAACAGGAAACAGUAACUGAAACUAUGUUCUUCUACAUUUAAUCUUAAUAAGUUCAGCAGUUUGAAUGUUAAUGAGACAU